UGGCGAUAUCACAUUGAAACAUCAGUUCCCAUAUGAUCACUGAAGUUAAGCAACAUUGAGACUGGUCAGUACCUAGAGGGGUGACUGCUUAAGAAUACAAAGUGCUGUAAG